rnacentral:misc_RNA from 1 species
AUGACAAUUCUAUCGAAGAAGAAGACGAACGCGCCGAAGGACAGGACGCGCGAGGCAGGCGCUGGUCCUGAGGUCGACGUUCAUCAUGGUGUGCAGAACGAGCAUAAUUCCAGCAGUAUCGCAUUACCGAACAGUCCUUAUCAGGUGCGCGGCGCCAACGGAUUCGCCGUCGAUCUACACGGGGUCCAAACAGAUCACGGAUCUAGUUCCAUAGUGCUGGCUGGCAAUUCAUACGAGACAAACGUAGAUCGCCGGGAGGAGAAACAUUUUGAAGAUGGAAGUGGUCCGAGUCAUGGUAAACGACACCGUCAGAGAGUCAGUCCUCACAGUGGCUGUAUCGGUAGGUCUUCGCGCGCGAAACGUGAACGAGAAAGGGACAGAGGCAGGGAAAGAGAGAGAGAAAGGGAACGCGAGAGGCAGGCUACGCCACCUGCUGCCUCCUGCAGCGGUCCACAAGGCCCGGACACCAGCGUCAACGGAAGAGUGAGCAUUGUUGGAAAUACCUCGGAUUUGGAACACGAAUCGGCAAACGGCUACAACAGCGGGGAUGAGUAUACGGGACGGGAGAACAAUCUUACGUUGGCUGAGUGGCAGGAAAGAGACAGGUGGUUUGAGAAGCGCAUGCGGAAAAAGGGCUUCAUCAUUAAAAAAAUGGGGGAAGACGGAGCUUGUUUGUUUAGAGCUGUAGCGGAUCAGGUUUACGGUGAUCAAGAAAUGCAUGGCAUCGUGCGGAAGCAUUGCAUGGAUUACAUCGCCUCCAAUCAAGAGUUCUUCUCGCAUUUUGUGGCGGAAGAUUUCAGCACCUACGUGGACAGGAAGCGGCAAGAGUACGUUCAUGGAAACCAUAUAGAAAUGCAAGCUAUGUCAGAAAUGUAUAAUCGUAGCAUCCAAUUGUACUGUUAUAGCACAGAACCUAUUAAUAUCUUCCAUACUAUGGUGGAAAGUGACAAUGAACCAAUCCGGUUGUCGUAUCAACGUGGCAGCCAUUACAAUAGCAUAGUUGACCCAUACAAGGCCACUAUAGGUGUUGGGCUUGGUCUACCGUCGUAUAAUCCCGGUGCUGCUGAUCGCGCUCUGAUAUCUGACGCGGUUCGUCAGAGUGAAGAAUUGCAUAUUGAACAGACGAUGCUGGAGGAUAAGAUAAAGGCUACCGACUGGGAAGCGACCAACGAGGCGAUCGAGGAACAAGUAGCCCGGGAAAGCUAUUUGCAAUGGUUGCGCGACAACGAGAUGCGUAAAGCAGUCGUGGACAGCAGCGUAGCCAUACCUCUUCUCCAACCACGACUCAAACUAGCCAAGAUAAUUUACGUAAUUCUCCGAAGGUCAAUGAUGCGGUACGAUACAACAAGAGAUCACCACAACAUCAAUCGACUCAAGGAACCAGCAUAUCUCAUCUGCCGUCAGAUUUCGAUGUGAAAAUUCCUCAAGAACCUGUACCAGGAAGCAGCAAGGAAGCGCACGCGUCACCUGAUAUUUCAUUGUUCAAUCGCCUUCCUCCUGAAGUAUUCGGUCUGACGGAUUGGGAAGAUAGCCAUAUACUUUCACAAGUGUUGGCGACGUCGCAACAGGAGUACUUGGACAGUCUGAAACAGUCACGCGUGUCCGCAUCCGCUGCAAGCGAUGGCGCCAAUACGAUAGAGUCUAAUAACAG